rnacentral:tRNA from 1 species
GGGGAUUUAGCUCAGCGGCGUAGGCGCCUGCUUUACAAGCAGGCAGUACUUCAAUCCCUG